GGGGAUGUGGCUUAGUGGUAGAGCUCUUGCCUUGCAUGCACAGGGCCCUGGGUUUGAUCCCUAGCACCA
rnacentral:tRNA from 1 species